rfam:Danio rerio chromosome 15, GRCz11 reference primary assembly.
GGCGCCGUGGCUUAGAUGGUUAAAGCGCCUCUCUAGUAAACAGGAGAUCCUGGGUUCGAAUCCCAGCGGUGCCU